UGUGAAAAUGUGAUGGUAAUUAUUCACUAGGGAUCAAGCUUUUCUUACUUCUUCAAAAUACUAGAAGAGAUAUCAUAAAACAAAAGUGCACAAGAUUGGCAACAUCUUUUUUAGAGGGCAGUAGUUACAUGAGGAAAUUCAUUAGCUUCAUACAAGAGAAUCACAUCACUAGGGGCUCACGGAGCAGUAGUACUUGCAUCUUUUUAUGCUCC
rnacentral:lncRNA from 1 species